rnacentral:rRNA from 1 species
CCUACGGGAGGCAGCAGUGAGGAAUAUUGGUCAAUGGGCGGAAGCCUGAACCAGCCAAGUAGCGUGCGGGAUGAAGGCCCUACGGGUCGUAAACCGCUUUUGCACGGGGAUAACACCCUCCACGUGUGGGGGUCUGCAGGUACCGUACGAAUAAGGGCCGGCUAAUUCCGUGCCAGCAGCCGCGGUAAUACGGAAGGCCCGAGCGUUAUCCGGAUUAAUUGGGCUUAAAGGGAGCGUAGGCGGGCGUUCAAGUCAGCUGUAAAAGUUGGCGGCUCAACGGCAACUUGCAGUUGAAACUGGCCGUCUUGAGUACACAACAGGCAGGCGGAAUUCGUGGUGUAGCGGUGAAAUGCAUAGAUAUCACGAGGAACUCCGAUUGCGAAGGCAGUCUGCCGGGGUGCGACUGACGCUGAGGCUCGAAGGUGCGGGUAUCAAACAGGAUUAGAUACCCUUGUAGUC